rnacentral:rRNA from 1 species
GAUGAACGCUGGCGGCGUGCCUAAUACAUGCAAGUCGAACGAAGAGAGAAGCUUGCUUCUCUUUUAGUGGCGAACGGGUGAGUAAAACAUAAGCAACCUACCGAUUCGACCGGGAUAACAGUUGGAAACGACUGCUAAUACCGGAUAGGUGCGCGGGGGACAUCCCCUGCACAUUAAAGCUGGGACACAGCACGAAUGGAUGGGCUUAUGGCGCAUUAGUUAGUUGGCGGGGUAACGGCCCACCAAGACGAUGAUGCGUAGCCGACCUGAGAGGGUGACCGGCCACACUGGGACUGAGACACGGCCCAGACUCCUACGGGAGGCAGCAGUAGGGAAUUUUCGGCAAUGGGCGCAAGCCUGACCGAGCAACGCCGCGUGAGUGAAGAAGGCCUUCGGGUUGUAAAGCUCUGUUGUAAGGGAAGAAUGGCCAAGAGAGGGAAUGCUCUUGGAGUGACGGUACCUUACCAGAAAGCCACGGCUAACUACGUGCCAGCCGCCGCGGUAAGAC